UAGGGAAUCUUCGGCAAUGGACGGAAGUCUGACCGGGCAACGCCGCGUGAGUGAAGAAGGUUUUCGGAUCGUAAAGCUCUGUUGUAAGAGAAGAACGAGUGUGAGAGUGGAAAGUUCACACUGUGACGGUAUCUUACCAGAAAGGGACGGCUAACUACGUGCCAGCAGCCGCGGUAAUACGUAGGUCCCGAGCGUUGUCCGGAUUUAUUGGGCGUAAAGCGAGCGCAGGCGGUUAGAUAAGUCUGAAGUUAAAGGCUGUGGCUUAACCAUAGUACGCUUUGGAAACUGUUUAACUUGAGUGCAAGAGGGGAGAGUGGAAUUCCAUGUGUAGCGGUGAAAUGCGUAGAUAUAUGGAGGAACACCGGUGGCGAAAGCGGCUCUCUGGCUUGUAACUGACGCUGAGGCUCGAAAGCGUGGGGAGCAAACAGGAUUAGAUACCCUGGUAGUCCACGCCGUAAACGAUGAGUGCUAGGUGUUAGACCCUUUCCGGGGUUUAGUGCCGCAGCUAACGCAUUAAGCACUCCGCCUGGGGAGUACGACCGCAAGGUUG
rnacentral:rRNA from 1 species